rnacentral:rRNA from 1 species
UACGAAGGGGGCUAGCGUUGUUCGGAAUCACUGGGCGUAAAGCGCACGUAGGCGGAUCUUUAAGUCAGGGGUGAAAUCCCGGAGCUCAACCUCGGAACUGCCUUUGAUACUGCAAAUCUCGAGUCCGAUAGAGGUGGGUGGAAUUCCUAGUGUAGAGGUGAAAUUCGUAGAUAUUAGGAAGAACACCGGUGGCGAAGGCGGCCCACUGGAUCGGUACUGACGCUGAGGUGCGAAAGCGUGGGGAGCAAACAGG